rnacentral:rRNA from 1 species
AACGGCUAUACCAUGCUGAAUAUACCGGUUCUCGUUAGAUCACCGAAGUCAAGCAUCAUUGGGCGCGGUCAGUACUUGGGUGGGUGACCACUUGGGAACAUCGCGUGCAG